rnacentral:rRNA from 1 species
UUGGUUCAGACGAACGCUGGCGGCGCGUCUUAAGCAUGCAAGUCGAGCGGUAAGUUAUAGCUUGCUAUAACCUAGAGCGGCGGACUGGUGAGUAACGCGUGGGUGACGUACCUUUGUGACGGGGACAGCUGGUAGAAAUAUCAGAUAAUACCGGAUACGCUGCAUGUUGUCAGAGGGCAUGCAGGAAAGGUUCUUUUGAACCGCACAGAGAGCGGCCCGCGUACUAUUAGCUAGUUGGUGAGGUAACGGCCCACCAAGGCGACGAUAGUUACCCGGCCUAAGAGGGUGAUCGGGCACAUUGGGACUGAGAUACGGCCCAGACUCCUACGGGAGGCAGCAGCUAAGAAUAUUCCGCAAUGGACGAAAGUCUGACGGAGCGACGCCGCGUGGAUGAUGAAGGCCGGAAAGGUUGUAAAAUCCUUUUAUGACUGAGGAAUAAGUGAAGUGAGAGAAACGCUUCAUGGUGACUGUAGGUCAUGAAUAAGCAACGGCUAAUUACGUGCCAGCAGCUGC